rfam:Gloeophyllum trabeum ATCC 11539 unplaced genomic scaffold GLOTRscaffold_00001, whole genome shotgun sequence.
CCUUCGAUAGCUCAGUUGGAAGAGCGUGAGACUGUAAUGGGUAACAUCGCCAUCUCAAGGUCCCUGGUUCGAGCCCGGGUCGAAGGA